GGGCGCACGGUGGAUGCCUUGACACUAGGAGUCGAUGAAGGACGGGACUAACGCCGAUAUGCUUCGGGGAGCUGUAAGUAAGCUUUGAUCCGAAGAUUUCCGAAUGGGGAAACCCACCAUACGUAAUGGUAUGGUAUCCUUAUCUGAAUACAUAGGGUAAGGAAGACAGACCCAGGGAACUGAAACAUCUAAGUACCUGGAGGAAGAGAAAGCAAAUGCGAUUUCCUGAGUAGCGGCGAGCGAAACGGAACAUAGCCCAAACCAAGAGGCUUGCCUCUUGGGGUUGUAGGACAUUCUAUACGGAGUUACAAAGGAACGAGGUAGACGAAGCGACCUGGAAAGGUCCGUCGUAGAGGGUAACAACCCCGUAGUCGAAACUUCGUUCUCUCUUGAAUGUAUCCUGAGUACGGCGGAACACGUGAAAUUCCGUCGGAAUCUGGGAGGACCAUCUCCCAAGGCUAAAUACUCCCUAGUGAUCGAUAGUGAACCAGUACCGUGAGGGAAAGGUGAAAAGCACCCCGGAAGGGGAGUGAAAGAGAUCCUGAAACCGUGUGCCUACAAAUAGUCAGAGCCCGUUAACGGGUGAUGGCGUGCCUUUUGUAGAAUGAACCGGCGAGUUACGAUCCCGUGCGAGGUUAAGCUGAAGAGGCGGAGCCGCAGCGAAAGCGAGUCUGAAUAGGGCGUUUAGUACGUGGUCGUAGACCCGAAACCAGGUGAUCUACCCAUGUCCAGGGUGAAGUUCAGGUAACACUGAAUGGAGGCCCGAACCCACGCACGUUGAAAAGUGCGGGGAUGAGGUGUGGGUAGCGGAGAAAUUCCAAUCGAACCUGGAGAUAGCUGGUUCUCCCCGAAAUAGCUUUAGGGCUAGCCUUAAGUGUAAGAGUCUUGGAGGUAGAGCACUGAUUGGACUAGGGGUCCUCAUCGGAUUACCGAAUUCAGUCAAACUCCGAAUGCCAAUGACUUAUCCUUAGGAGUCAGACUGCGAGUGAUAAGAUCCGUAGUCAAAAGGGAAACAGCCCAGACCGCCAGCUAAGGUCCCAAAGUGUGUAUUAAGUGGAAAAGGAUGUGGAGUUGCUUAGACAACUAGGAUGUUGGCUUAGAAGCAGCCACCAUUUAAAGAGUGCGUAAUAGCUCACUAGUCGAGUGACUCUGCGCCGAAAAUGUACCGGGGCUAAAUACACCACCGAAGCUGCGGAUUGAUACCAAUGGUAUCAGUGGUAGGGGAGCGUUCUAAGGACAGUGAAGUCAGACCGGAAGGACUGGUGGAGUGCUUAGAAGUGAGAAUGCCGGUAUGAGUAGCGAAAGACGGGUGAGAAUCCCGUCCACCGAAUGCCUAAGGUUUCCUGAGGAAGGCUCGUCCGCUCAGGGUUAGUCAGGACCUAAGCCGAGGCCGACAGGCGUAGGCGAUGGACAACAGGUUGAUAUUCCUGUACCACCUCUUUAUCGUUUGAGCAAUGGAGGGACGCAGAAGGAUAGAAGAAGCGUGCGAUUGGUUGUGCACGUCCAAGCAGUUAGGCUGAUAAGUAGGCAAAUCCGCUUAUCGUGAAGGCUGAGCUGUGAUGGGGAAGCUCCUUAUGGAGCGAAGUCUUUGAUUCCCCGCUGCCAAGAAAAGCUUCUAGCGAGAUAAAAGGUGCCUGUACCGCAACCCGACACAGGUAGGCGAGGAGAGAAUCCUAAGGUGUGCGAGAGAACUCUGGUUAAGGAACUCGGCAAAAUGACCCCGUAACUUCGGGAGAAGGGGUGCUUUCUUAACGGAAAGCCGCAGUGAAUAGGCCCAAGCGACUGUUUAGCAAAAACACAGCUCUCUGCGAAGCCGUAAGGCGAAGUAUAGGGGGUGACACCUGCCCGGUGCUGGAAGGUUAAGGAGAGGGGUUAGCGUAAGCGAAGCUCUGAACUGAAGCCCCAGUAAACGGCGGCCGUAACUAUAACGGUCCUAAGGUAGCGAAAUUCCUUGUCGGGUAAGUUCCGACCCGCACGAAAGGUGUAACGAUUUGGGCACUGUCUCAACCAGAGACUCGGUGAAAUUAUAGUACCUGUGAAGAUGCAGGUUACCCGCGACAGGACGGAAAGACCCCGUGGAGCUUUACUGUAGCCUGAUAUUGAAUUUUGGUACAGUUUGUACAGGAUAGGCGGGAGCCUUUGAAACCGGAGCGCUAGCUUCGGUGGAGGCGCUGGUGGGAUACCGCCCUGACUGUAUUGAAAUUCUAACCUACGGGUCUUAUCGACCCGGGAGACAGUGUCAGGUGGGCAGUUUGACUGGGGCGGUCGCCUCCUAAAGUGUAACGGAGGCGCCCAAAGGUUCCCUCAGAAUGGUUGGAAAUCAUUCGUAGAGUGCAAAGGCAUAAGGGAGCUUGACUGCGAGACCUACAAGUCGAGCAGGGACGAAAGUCGGGCUUAGUGAUCCGGUGGUUCCGCAUGGAAGGGCCAUCGCUCAACGGAUAAAAGCUACCCCGGGGAUAACAGGCUUAUCUCCCCCAAGAGUCCACAUCGACGGGGAGGUUUGGCACCUCGAUGUCGGCUCAUCGCAUCCUGGGGCUGUAGUCGGUCCCAAGGGUUGGGCUGUUCGCCCAUUAAAGCGGUACGCGAGCUGGGUUCAGAACGUCGUGAGACAGUUCGGUCCCUAUCCGUCGUGGGCGUAGGAAAUUUGAGAGGAGCUGUCCUUAGUACGAGAGGACCGGGAUGGACGCACCGCUGGUGUACCAGUUGUUCUGCCAAGGGCAUAGCUGGGUAGCUAUGUGCGGAAGGGAUAAGUGCUGAAAGCAUCUAAGCAUGAAGCCCCCCUCAAGAUGAGAUUUCCCAUAGCGUAAGCUAGUAAGAUCCCUGAAAGAUGAUCAGGUUGAUAGGUUCGAGGUGGAAGCAUGGUGACAUGUGGAGCUGACGAAUACUAAUAGAUCGAGGACUUAACCAU
rnacentral:rRNA from 1 species